rnacentral:snoRNA from 1 species
CAUAUCUGCCUUAGAUCCUUUGUCAAGGUUUUCCAUUUUGGAAAAUCUACAAAGCUUCGGUUUUUGCUUUCCGUUGACAAAGCUUGAGUCAUUCAGAUAUAAGAUUGCCUAUACCUCCACUCUUGAUCCCAAGGAAAGUGUCUAACUCGAUUUUUUCUUUUGAAAAUAUCAUUUAAAGUUGAUACUGUGGAUUCGUUUGGGGACAUA